rnacentral:rRNA from 1 species
AUUGAACGCUGGCGGCAGGCCUAACACAUGCAAGUCGAGCGGCAGCGGAAAAGUAGCUUGCUACUUUUGCCGGCGAGCGGCGGACGGGUGAGUAAUGCCUGGGGAUCUGCCCAGUCGAGGGGGAUAACUACUGGAAACGGUAGCUAAUACCGCAUACGCCCUACGGGGGAAAGCAGGGGACCUUCGGGCCUUGCGCGAUUGGAUGAACCCAGGUGGGAUUAGCUAGUUGGUGAGGUAAUAGCUCACCAAGGCGACGAUCCCUAGCUGGUCUGGGAGGAUGAUCAGCCACACUGGAACUGAGACACGGUCCAGACUCCUACGGGAGGCAGCAGUGGGGAAUAUUGCACAAUGGGGGAAACCCUGAUGCAGCCAUGCCGCGUGUGUGAAGAAGGCCUUCGGGUUGUAAAGCACUUUCAGCGAGGAGGAAAGGUCAGUAGCUAAUAUCUGCUGGCUGUGACGUUACUCGCAGAAGAAGCACCGGCUAACUCCGUGCCAGCCGCCGCCGUAA